rnacentral:tRNA from 1 species
UUUAAUAUGGCAGAAAAGUGCAAUAGAUUUAAAUCCUAUAUAUAAAGUUUUUAUUACUUUUAUUAAAA